CCUAGGUAUGCUAAAUUAUUCCUAGCAAUCUUAAAAGGUACAUUUAAGCGCAGUUGUGAUGCCUGAUGAUUAAUAGGGAAAAGUUCGCUCUUGUGCAAGUUCAAUUUGUAUGCAGAGAAUUGGCUAAAUGUAUUAAGCAAGGACAUAGCAGCAGGUAAUGACACACCUGGAUUAGAAAUAUAAAGCAAGAGGUCAUCUGCAAAUAAAGAUACCCUGUGCUCAGAUCCCCCCCGCACCACACCUGUGAUUUGGUUGGAAUCGCGAAGUGCUAUUGCUAGUGGUUCAAUAUUAAGGGCAAAGAGUAGAGGACUGAUAGGGCAGCCCUGUCGGGUGCCACGGUGCAAAGAGAAUGGAGUGGAGUACUGAAUAUUGGUUAGGACUGAUGCAGCGGGUGCACUGUACAGCAGUCUUAUCCAGGAGAUAAAAACUGGGCCAAAACCAAAUUUCUCUAAAACAGUAAAGAGGUAAUCCCAUUCUACCCUAUCAAAUGCUUUUUCUGCAUCCAUAGAGAUAAUGCAUUCUGGAACAGAUUCUGAAGGGGAAUAUAAAAUAUUGAAAAGACGACAAAUAUUAAAGAAUGACUGUCGGUUUUUAAUAAACCCAGUCUGGUCAGGGGAUAUUACAGAGGGGAGGACAUCCUCAAGCCUUCUUGCCAACACCUUUGCUAAAAUCUUCACAUCAUUGUUUAACAGGGAGAUGGGUCUGUACGAAGCAUAGUCCAUUGGGUCCUUCCCACCCUUAGCUAACAGUGAAAUGCAGGCCUGAGCCAUUGUUGGUGGUAGAACCCCCUUUCUCAAGGGAUUCUGUGAGAACAAGGGUUAGAUGACUAGAGCGCUGAAUAGACAAUUUCUUAUAGAACUCGACAGAAAAACCAUCUGGACCGGGAGAUUUUUGAGACUGCAUAGAGAAUAUAGCUGAUAUUACCUCUUGCUGUGUAAUGGGUUGUUCAAGAAGUUCCUUAUAGUCUGAAGAUAUAGCUGGGAUUUUUAAACCGCCAAGGAAAUCCUCCAUUUCAUUACUAUUCACUGUAGACUACCAAAGACAUUCUUUUGUCCACCUAAACUCAUUCCGAUUCUUACCACCACAAGCCAAUUCCCCACACAAAUACAAGUAAACCUUUCAAAACAUUACGUAUAUCCCUGAAAUCUCCGUUAUGAAGAGUGGAAAAUAAAAUUGUGAAAAAUUAUUAAAAAAUAAAUAAAUAAUAAUAAUAAAAAAAAAGCCAGGAAAAACUCACACAAUGU
ensembl:lncRNA